UACGUAGGGUGCAAGCGUUAAUCGGAAUUACUGGGCGUAAAGCGUGCGCAGGCGGUUCGCUAAGUCCGAUGUGAAAUCCCCGGGCUUAACCUGGGAACUGCAUUGGUGACUGGCGGGCUAGAGUAUGGCAGAGGGGGGUAGAAUUCCACGUGUAGCAGUGAAAUGCGUAGAGAUGUGGAGGAACACCGAUGGCGAAGGCAGCCCCCUGGGUCAAGAUUGACGCUCAUGCACGAAAGCGUGGGGAGCAAACAGG
rnacentral:rRNA from 1 species